rnacentral:rRNA from 1 species
KARAGUUUGAUCCUGGCUCARAACGAACGCYGGCGGCGUGCUUAACACAUGCAAGUCGAACGUGAUUGGAAGCUUGCUUCCAUGAAAGUGGCGCACGGGUGAKUAACGCGUGGAUAACCUGCCCUGGUAUCCGGAAUAACAUCUCGAAAGGGGUGCUAAUACCGGAUAAGCCUACGGAGCCCUCGGUCUCUGCAGGAAAAGGKGGCCUCUAUUUAUAAGCUACCGUAUCAGGAUGGGUCCGCGUACCAUUAGCUAGUUGGUGGGGUAAUGGCCUACCAAGGCGACGAUGGUUAGCUGGUCUGAGAGGAUGAUCAGCCACACUGGAACUGARACACGGUCCAGACUCCUACGGGAGGCAGCAGUGGGGAAUUUUGCGCAAUGGGGGAAACCCUGACGCAGCAACGCCGCGUGAGUGAUGAARGCUUUCGGGUCGUAAAGCUCUGUCAGAGGGGAAGAAAUGGAAACGGUUAAUACCCGUUUUCCUUGACGGUACCCUCAAAGGAAGCACCGGCUAAYUCCGUGCCAGCAGCCGCGGUAAUAC